UACAGAGGGUGCGAGCGUUAAUCGGAAUCACUGGGCGUAAAGCGCACGUAGGCGGAUUUGCCAGUCAGGGGUGAAAUCCCGGGGCUCAACCUCGGAACUGCCUUUGAUACAGCAAGUCUUGAGUUCGAGAGAGGUGGGUGGAAUUCCUAGUGUAGAGGUGAAAUUCGUAGAUAUUAGGAAGAACACCGGUGGCGAAGCCGGCCCACUGGCUCGACACUGACGCUGAGGUGCGAAAGCGUGGGGAGCAAACAGG
rnacentral:rRNA from 1 species